CCUCCACUCGGCGAGGUACAUGUACCUCGCCGACUGGAAGGGAAACCCUCCACUCGGCGAGGUACAUGUACCUUGCCGACUGGAGG
rnacentral:miRNA from 1 species